rnacentral:rRNA from 1 species
GAUGAACGCUGGCGGCGUGCCUAACACAUGCAAGUCGAACGGUUCCGGGGGAAGGAAGUAACAUUCCGUUUUCCGGGAUAGUGGCGGACGGGUGAGUAACGCGUGGGCAACCUGCCUUUCACUGGGGGAUAACACAGGGAAACCUGUGCUAAUACCGCAUGACAUACCGGGGGGGCAUCCUCCUGGUAUCAAAGGAGAAAUCCGGUGGAAGAUGGGCCCGCGUCCAAUUAGCUGGUUGGUGGUGUAACGGACCACCAAGGCGACGAUUGGUAGCCGAACUGAGAGGUUGAUCGGCCACAUUGGGACUGAGACACGGCCCAGACUCCUACGGGAGGCAGCAGUGGGGAAUAUUGCGCAAUGGGGGGAACCCUGACGCAGCAACGCCGCGUGAAGGAAGAAGGCUUUCGGGUUGUAAACUUCUUUGGUGAGGGACGAAGGAAGUGACGGUACCUCAGGAACAAGCCACGGCUAACUACGUGCCAGCAGCGCGUAAACAUACUCGUA